UGGGGAAUAUUGGACAAUGGGCGAAAGCCUGAUCCAGCCACGCCGCGUGAGUGAUGAAGGCCUUCGGGUCGUAAAGCUCUGUGGGGAGGGACGAAUGACCGGGUGAAGAAUCCGGAAUGACGGUACCUCCUUAGCAAGCACCGGCUAACUUCGUGCCAGCAGCCGCGGUAAUACGAAGGGUGCAAACGUUGCUCGGAAUCAUUGGGCGUAAAGCGCACGUAGGCGGCCUCAUAAGUCGGAUGUGAAAUCCCUCGGCUCAACCGAGGACGUGCAUCCGAAACUGUGAAGCUCGAGUAUGGAAGAGGGUCGCGGAAUUCCCGGUGUAGAGGUGAAAUUCGUAGAUAUCGGGAGGAACACCAGUGGCGAAGGCGGCGACCUGGGCCAAUACUGACGCUGAGGUGCGAAAGCGUGGGGAGCAAACAG
rnacentral:rRNA from 1 species